rnacentral:rRNA from 1 species
GAUGAACGCUGGCGGCGUGCCUAAUACAUGCCAGUCGAGCGAACAGAUGAGGAGCUUGCUCCUCUGACGUUAGCGGCGGACGGGUGAGUAACACGUGGAUAACCUACCUAUAAGACUGGGAUAACUUCGGGAAACCGGAGCUAAUACCGGAUAAUAUAUUGAACCGCAUGGUUCAAUAGUGAAAGACGGUUUUGCUGUCUCUUAUAGAUGGAUCUGCGCCGCAUUAGAUAGUUGGUAAGGUAACGGGUUACCAAGGCAACGAUGCGUAGCCGACCUGAGAGGGGGAUCGGCCGCACUGGAGCUGAGACACGGUCCAGACGCCUACGGGAGGCAGCAGUAGGGAAUCUGACGCAAUGGGCGAAAGCCUUACGGAGCAACGCCGCGUGAGUGAUGAAGGUCCUCGGAGCGUGAAGCUCGGUUAUUGGGGAAGAACAAAUGUGUAAGUAACUAUGCACGUCUUGACGGUACCUGAUCAGAAAGCCACGGCUAACUACGUG